UACGUAGGGUGCAAGCGUUUAAUCGGAAUUACUGGGCGUAAAGCGUGCGCAGGCGGUUUUGUAAGUCUGUCGUGAAAGCCCCGGGCUUAACCUGGGAAUUGCGAUGGAGACUGCAAGGCUUGAAUCUGGCAGAGGGGGGUAGAAUUCCACGUGUAGCAGUGAAAUGCGUAGAGAUGUGGAGGAACACCGAUGGCGAAGGCAGCCCCCUGGGUCAAGAUUGACGCUCAUGCACGAAAGCGUGGGGAGCAAACAGG
rnacentral:rRNA from 1 species